rnacentral:lncRNA from 1 species
CGGCCCCUCCUCGCCCCUCCCUGGACUGGCGGGCUCAGUCCGGCGGCCCGGGCCCCGCCACCAAACCUCCUCCGCCCUGCCCUGGAGCCCCGGCGCCUGCAAGAUGAAUGAAGCACCCGCGAAUCGGCAGAGCUGCACUGGGGGGAGAGACGGACGCGCCGCUAUCUGCGACUUGGCGCCCUGAGCCCCCUCCCCGCCCUGCCCGGCCUCUCGGGACUAAAGGGCGGAGGCUGCGCCUGCUGGGCGCGGCCGCGAUGUUUUGGGGUCCGGGAAGAGCGCCAUCCGCCACUUGAUCUGUUCAGGUUUUUGUGGACCCUCACAAGAGGGCUCAGAACAGUGACUGGCAGUGUGGAUUUCUUGAGGGCACGGCAAUUCAGCAAACAUUUAUUAAGUACCUAGUUAGGGACCAGACGACUUCCCAGGAUGGAGAACAAGUUGCAUCUUGUUGGUAAGUGUUGUUUGUUUCUCAGUAGAAACUACUUAGAAGCAACAUUUUAUAUGGUGAGGUUCUCAGGAGAAUCUACAAAAAGUUCAUGAAAGGAAUCCUGUAAUUAAACGAUAGUGCUCACCAGAAAUGAUCUAGGGUUUGUAGGACUUGAAGCACUUACAAUUUGGGGAGCCAUCUUCAAGAUAAGGAAGACAAAAGCACAAAACCCCAUUGCUCACGGGGCUCAUGGAACUUAAGCCCCUUAGGCUUCUCAGUGAUCCCUCUUGGUGCUGGAAUUUCUGUAGAAGUUAACUCCUUUGAUAAACAUUGUUUUGUUUUGUUUUGUUUUUUGGUGAGGAAGAUUGGCCCCGAGCUAACAUUUGUUGCCAAUCUUCCUCCUUUUGCUUGAGAAAGAUUGUCCCUGAGCCAAUCUGUGCCAAUCUUCCUGUAUUUUGUAUGUGGGUCGCUGCCACAGCAUAGCUUGAUGAGCAGUGUGCAGGUCCACACCCAGGAUCUGAACCCACGAACCCCAGGCUGCUGAUGCAGAGCCUGCGGACUUAACCACUAUGCCACUUGGGCGGCCCUUGAUAAACAUUAUUUUAAUAUGAAAACUCAUUCCUCAUUUUACCUGGAAUUCCUGAGACACCUCUCCUCCCUCCCCACCAAAUCUGGAAGAGAUGGAAGUAGAGACUCCCACUAUCACAGACACACACCACACACACGUAUCCCUUCUCAGGUAAUGAAACCAUCACCUCUUUGCCCCUUUGCUCCACCAGAAUCUCUG